UGUGAAGUCAAUGCAAGAACCAGACUUGCAACCACCCCUUUAAAAGCUGCACCUUCACAACUGCCCAAUAACGACAGCUAUAGGUGGCUUAGUCUCAUCUCUUCUGCGUAUAUAUAUACAUAUCUCCGAUACAACACAUUCAACAUAGUAUCAUCAAUGAAACCGACGUCGUAUCUCUUCUUGCUUGCCAUCUUGUUCCUGCACCAACCCGUUUUCACACAAUGUGUGGAAAACCCCUUCUCUUCCGACGAUGCUUCUAUCUUGAAGACGGCACCGUUUUUACAUACAACUACUACUCCCGUUGCUGAUGUGAAAAAAGAAAGCCUGCCGGCGCCGCCUCCUCCAGAAAAACAUCGCUCUCCUCUCGAGAAGAUGCUGCCACCACCUGCGCCGCCGCUGUCGCCGCCGCCACCGCCACUGCCUCCGCCUCCUCCUCCGUCGCCUCCUCCUCCGCCGCCACCGCCGCUGCCUCCGCCGCCUCCUCCGUCGCCUCCUCCUCCUCCGCCGCCGCCGCCGCCGCCGCUGCAACCAGCUCAUUUUAAAUUUUGAAUUCUUGCAAUUUGUUGCUCUCAUGUUUAGAUAUCUCCGAAACAACUCCACCACACAUCCAACAUUAGUAUCAUCAAUGAAACCGACGUCGUAUCUCUUCUUGCUCGCCAUCUUGUUCAUGCACGAGGCCAUUUUCACACAAUGUGUGGAAAACCCCUUCUCUUCCGACGAUGCUUCCAUCUCGAGGACGGCGCCGUUUUCACGUACAACUACUACUCCCGUUGCUGAUGUGAAA